UUGGUCCUUUUUUUUUUUAUUUCGAUCUUUACAGCAUAGUUUUAACAAAAUACAUCCCUACAGCAAUGGAGAGGUACCCUUCGAAUUAGUUAGAUAUGUGUUGUUUUGCCUACUCAUCUGUCUACAUAAUUGAAGUAUCUUGAUUAUUUGUUAAGAAGUGAUUUUACAUACGAAGUUUGUAUUCACACAAUCAUGACCCAAAGAGAGCAAAUAUUUAUGUUCAUUCGAAAUUUAUUUUCUUCCUUCCUGUGUUGACCUAUUUCCAUUUCUCAACUAUGAUAUUGUAGUCUCGAAGUGCUUCACCACAUUAUUUGAGAACUGUGUCUUACAAACUGGGAUUUUCUACUGCAGAAGUAGCUGAUGUGGAGCUCAAACUUUAGGUGGUGCCUAAUCAUAAACUAGGAUUUUCUGAAGCUACUGUCUGGCCUGUGAUUCAACAUAAAAAAUAUGUAUCAUGUAUUUUGGUACCACAAAUAUUUUGUACUUCUACCGAGUGAUGUCGGAGAUAUUUGGGCCACAACAGUCCAUGAUUGAAUUUUGCAACUCGCAUUAUUUUCUUAUUUAACAGCACCGGUGCUUUUUAUUAUUAAUACACGAUUUUUAAUCUAUUUGUUGCCUUGGGUUGUGUCAAGAAAAAUUGACUUCCUUGCUUUACAACUAUAACUAGAUUGUUCAGGAGACAAUUUUUGACUAGCCAAUUGAUCAUGCUAAAUUAUCUUAUUAUUGGACAUGCUUUUUUGUGUUUAAUAGUAUUGCUUUAGUGCAUGAACCAGUUAAUCAUCUAUUCUUGAUUUUGUUUUAUUCUAUAGGACAACCAAUUAUUUUAUUCUCUCUAAUUUUUUUUUUACGAGCUUUAAGAAUAAAAUUGGCACAUUCUUUUGGUAUCUUAACUGUUUCUUCUUUUUCUUAUACUAACUUUAUGAUAGCUAAUUAAUUAUCUAACUGGUCUACUAGUUUAUUGAAACUAGUCACAGUAACUUUGUUUUACUAGCCGCAAAAAUGAUGUGUUUUACUUCACUAGAUAAGAUUUAAACAUGGGUGCAGACCUCUUUACCUGUCUAAAUAUUAAGGUUUCUCUUUGCCUGCCUAAAUAUUAAAGAUUCAAGUCAAUUGAGGAUAAUCCAUCUUUUUGCAAGCCAAUAUAUGACUAUGCUGUUUCUAUAGAAUGCUUAGACAUACUUUUCCUGUAAACUUGGGAGGCGGGUCGGAGCAGUGAAGCUGGUAGAUGAUUCGAGAAUAUAACUAGUGUGCUGCAUUUGAACCGACGAAUAAUUAUUGCAUUGGGGUUCUCGUAAGAAGAAACAAGAUAGAGAGAGCACUAUCGGUUUUGAUAAGAGUUUAUUAGCAGCAUAAUGGCGUUGUGAUGGCUGCUGAAGAAGAAGGGAGUUAUUAGCAGCAAAGACUUGGGUGGGGUGGGUGGUGCAGAAGAAAGCUUGGGUCGACAUCCGAUAAAAUUGGAAUGAUACAGAGAAGAUUAGCAUGGCCCCUGCGCAAGGAUGACACGCACAAAUCGAGAAAUGGUCAAAAUGUUUUUUCCGAUUCGCGUUCUCUUGUUCUUGAUUUGAUUUCCUAUCCUUUUGCCCUUCCUUCUCUGAUUUGAUUUCCCAGCCUCCCCUCUUCCUGGUUCUUCUGAUUCGAUUUUUGUUUUUGGUUUCUUUCUUAUUGGCUGCUACAAUCUGGUUCUUUAUGAUUUAGGGUUUUGUGCUCCGUUUUUUCCCAAAUCGAGUCGACUCGCUUUCAUUUUUGGUUUCUUAUUGGCUGUUAAUCUGGUUCUUUAGGAUUUAGGGUUCUGUGCUCCUUUUUCUCCCAUUUGUGUUCUUAUUUUGGUUUGUUUUCCAUUUCUUUUUUCUUUUUUCUGCUGAAUUUUUUCCUCGCUCUUAGUAGUGUUUUGUCUCCUUUGUGGUUUUUAAUCAAGUUCUCGUUUCUAUUUCUCUCUCUCUCUCGAUUUGUUUUGAUUCUUCUCCGGUUCUGGAAACCUGAGGACAUGGAUGGAUGGACUUCUGAGUUCGCUUCGCUUUGGAUCACAGCACCAUUCUUUACUCGCAUAAUGAGCAACGUUAUCAGUUACGGCGCCGGCUGAAUUGUUUUUUAUGUUAUCGACGGAUACUCUACUCUUCUUCUUGACUUGUUCGACUUCUGCACUCCCAUGAAUACAUGCUUCUGGUCGAAGACGGCGUUAUGUGUUGAUGGUAUUCGGACCUCUUUGUCAAACAUUCAAUAUUGGCUCUGCUGUUGCCUAUUGGAGAGGUAGCAGGUUCAGCACCAAGAAAUGGUUUCCAUCUGUGUGCCAUUGACAACCUAGAAACUUCAACUCAUAGGAUGAAGAUGAAGCAUGACACGAGUGCCAUGCCCUUAACGAUCCAUCAUGAACUGAAAGGACGUGAUAGCUUUUAACAAUCUGAUGGUCUUGAUACAUGUGAAUUAAAGAGUUGCUCACAGCAUUGUAUGUCAACGGAAGAAAGUUGGAAGAGCGAAAAGAAGGCAGUUUGAUCUAUUCCAUUGUCCAAAUGGUUUCAAAAUCAAGGAAGGUUUUCUCAAGCAUUCUAGACAAUAUCUAGUAAAGUAAGGUGCUUAGAUAAAUCUUGCUGCAUGCAACCAGUGUAGCUGUUGCGCUAUCUUCUGCCAGCACAAUGUCAGGACAGGCCAGUAAACAGAGCACUAGGUUGGCACAAGCUUCUAGUGGUCGGUCAUCUCUGUUCCCUCGGUGUCUUGGCACUAGGACAUGCCAAUGAAACUGUGGGCUAUAUAACACGCUAUGCUGCUCGGAUUCAGCAACUUUAAACAUAAGUUCAGUCCAUGGAUUGCUUCAUGACUACAUCCAUUUUAACCAUGAUCUUUCACUGUAUUUAGCUUAUGCCAAUCCUGACUAUCACAUAUCAGAGGUCUACGAUUUGAUCACAUUAGCCAGAAGAGCCUCUCAUCUUAUACGUAUGAAAUGCCAGCACACUUGUGCCGACCAUGCAGUGUCAUGCAUGUCGAAGAGCACUAAUUGCAUCAUUUGAUUCUGAAAUUACACUCAAUAUUGGUUGCGGAAUAUACGAGGCAAAACUCUGUGCUACAGCAUAUCGACUGUUAUUACUGUCAAGUGAUUGGCAGCACCUUUUUUUCUGGAAUUUGAAAGGAAAAUGAUGCUUAUUCCAGCUUCUUUUUGUCUAAUCCAGCUUCAUUCGAUGAAUAAGAUUUGCACCUUUUUUUCUGGAAUAUGAAAGGAAAAUGAUGCUUAUUCCAGCUUCUUUUUGUCUAAUCCAGCUUCAUUCGAUGAAUAAGGUUUGAUUUGAAGCGUUUCACAACAUAGUUUGCAUUAAAUAUCUACUGCAGAAGUAGCUGAUAUGGAACUUCAACUCUUGGUAACGCCUCAGCUAAAACUAGAAUCGUCUGGUGUUGCCAUACAGCUUCAAUAAAGUUCACUUAUAGAAGCAAUUGGGACUAGUAUAUAAACUUUUUCUGGGCAAAAAGAACUAUAUCAAAAUGUAUAUGUUAUCAGGGAUUAUGUGCAAUGUGGGUUAGCAAUCACUAAUGUGUUUGACUUUAUAUGGUACUUAUCUCAUCUGUAUGCUUCUUGUGCUGAUUCUCCAGUAUAUAGUGAAGAUGCAAUAGAGUAGCAAUUUCUUC